GAGAAACUGACACAGCGGUCGCUGGAGCGUCUGUGUCGAUUACAACAGAGAAUUCUCUCCCUGAGCUGACAUCAAGACCUUGUGGCACAGGAAUUCCUGGAACAUCAUGCAGGGAGGCAGCAACACCUGCAUGUCAAGGUUCCUGGACUUUGUUCAGAGUGAUGCACAUAUUCAUGGUGACCAACAGACUCUAUGCAUGUUCAGAAUGCACAAUGAGGACUCUCAGUGCUGGCCCCACUAUCCAGAACCCUGACCUGCUGGAGCUAAACCUGUGCAUUCGGAUGGAGAACUCUCAGGUCCAUCUCCAGCACCACAUCUGCCUGCCUGCCACCAAGCUUCCUGACGUGAUGUGUGGGGAGCCGCCCUCACAUUCGCAGUUGCAAGAUGGCGCUGACAUCCUGUGUUCUGAGUGGUAAACAAAUAAUCUGCGCAUGUGCCAAGGGUAGUUCUUCACUCCAUGUGCUCUGCCUUCCCCGUGACGACAACUCAGCCGAUGGGCUGCAGCCAAUCAGGGAGUGACACGUCCUAGGCGGAGGAUAAUUCUCCUUAAAGGGGACAGGGUUUCGCCAUUCUCUCUCUUGCUCGCUUGCUCUCUUGCUCUUGCUCUCUUGCUCCUGAAGAUGUAAGCAAUAAAGCUCUUGCUCUCUUGCUCCUGAAGAUGUAA
rnacentral:lncRNA from 1 species